rnacentral:rRNA from 1 species
AGAGUUUGGAUCAUGGCUCAGGACGAACGCUGGCGGUGUGCUUCACACAUGCAAGUCGAACGCGAAAAGUCCUUCGGGAUGAGUAAAGUGGCGCACGGGUGAGUAAUACAUGAGAACAUGCCCUUAGAUGGGGAAUAACGUUUGGAAACGAACGCUAAUACCGCGUAAUCUCGCGAGAGUAAAGGUGGCGCCGCAAGGGCUACCGUCUAAGGAUUGGCUCAUGUCCCAUUAGCUAGUUGGCGGGGUAAUGGCCCACCAAGGCAACGAUGGGUAUGUGGUCUGAGAGGAUGAUCACACACACUGGAACUGAGACACGGUCCAGACUCCUACGGGAGGCAGCAGUAGGGAAUAUUGCACAAUGGGGGAAACCCUGAUGCAGCAACGCCGCGUGAGUGAAGAAGGCCCUUGGGUUGUAAAGCUCUUUAGCGAGGGAAGAAGGUAGAUACGGUGAAUAAUCGUGUUUGCUGACGGUACCUCGAGAAUAAGCACCGGCUAAUUUCGUG